GAUGAACGCUGGCGGCGUGCCUAAUACAUGCAAGUCGAGCGAACACAUCAGGACCUUGCUCCUCUGACGUUAUCGCCCGACGGGUGAGUAACAUGUGUAUAACCUACCUAUCAGACUGGGAUAACUUCGGGAAACCGUAGCUUAUACCCGAUAAUUUAUUGCACUGCAUUGUUCAAUAGUGAAAUUCGGUUUUUCUGUCACUUAUAGCUGUAUCCGCGCCGCAUUAGCUAGUUGGUAAGGUAACGGCUUACCAAGGCAACGAUGGGUAGCCGACCUGAGAGGGAGGUCGGACAGACGGGAAGAGAGACAGGGCCCAGACUCCUAGGGGAGGCAGCAGUAGGGAAUUUUACGCAAGGGGGGAAAGGGUGACGGAGGAAAGCGGGGGGAGGGAUGAAGGAGUACGGAUGGGAAAGCUCUGUUAGUAGGGGAGAAGAAAAGUGUAAGUAACUAGGAAGGUAAUGACGGUACCGAGAGAGAAAGCAACGGCUAACUACGUG
rnacentral:rRNA from 1 species